rnacentral:lncRNA from 1 species
CCGCCGGGCUGGGCCUCGUCUGUGCGCACUCAGGGAUGGUGCGCCCCCAACGUGGUCGGGAGAUACACCCAGCUACCAAUUCGGGACCAGGACCAAGAGGACCGGACCCGCCUCCCUGGACCUCGGACCUGAUGGGGCCACGACCCCUGCGCUUCUCUCCUCCCCCUGUCCCUCCCACCUGUGCUCAAAAUAAACCUCUGGACUGACCGGCUAAGUUCUGGUGCAGUCAGUGAGCGCGCAACGUGCGGGGUGGGGGAUAGGUGGGGAGGCUUGGGGAGAAAGCUGGGAGCAGGACUUGGGGGGUAUUCCUGAGAAAUCGUGACUUAGAGGGGUGGAGCCUG